UUUUCUCUGAGAUGUAUGUCGCUUUGGAUAAAAGUGUCUGCUAAAUGAUUAAAU
rfam:Scleropages formosus scaffold4492, whole genome shotgun sequence.